rnacentral:rRNA from 1 species
UACGUAGGGACCAAGCGUUGUUCGGAUUUACUGGGCGUAAAGGGCGCGUAGGCGGCGUAUUAAGUCAGCUGUGAAAUCUCCAAGCUUAACUUGGAACGGUCAGCUGAUACUGAUGUGCUAGAGUGCAGAAGGGGCAAUCGGAAUUCUUGGUGUAGCGGUGAAAUGCGUAGACAUCAAGAGGAACACCUGAGGUGAAGACGGGUUGCUGGGCUGACACUGACGCUGAAGCGCGAAAGCUAGGGUAGCAAACGGG